UCUUUCCUACGGGGGGCAGCAGUAGGGAAUCUUCCGCAAUGGGCGAAAGCCUGAUGGAGCAACGCCGCGUGGGUGAAGAAGGUCUUCGGAUCGUAAAACCCUGUUGUUAGAGAGGAAAGUGCGUGAGAGUAACUGUUCACGUUUCGACGGUAUCUAACCAGAAAGCCACGGCUAACUACGUGCCAGCAGCCGCGGUAAUACGUAGGUGGCAAGCGUUAUCCGGAUUUAUUGGGCGUAAAGGGAACGCAGGCGGUCUUUUAAGUCUGAUGUGAAAGUUUGCGGCUCAACCGUAAAAUUGCAAUUGA
rnacentral:rRNA from 1 species